rnacentral:rRNA from 2 species
CACGUGGGUAAUCUGCCCUGCACUUCGGGAUAAGCCUGGGAAACCGGGUCUAAUACCGGAUAUGAGCUCCUGCCGCAUGGUGGGGGUUGGAAAGUUUUUCGGUGCAGGAUGAGUCCGCGGCCUAUCAGCUUGUUGGUGGGGUAAUGGCCUACCAAGGCGACGACGGGUAGCCGGCCUGAGAGGGUGAUCGGCCACACUGGGACUGAGACACGGCCCAGACUCCUACGGGAGGCAGCAGUGGGGAAUAUUGCACAAUGGGCGAAAGCCUGAUGCAGCGACGCCGCGUGGGGGAUGACGGUCUUCGGAUUGUAAACUCCUUUCAGUAGGGACGAAGCGAAAGUGACGGUACCUGCAGAAGAAGCACCGGCCAACUACGUG